rnacentral:rRNA from 11 species
AGGUAGAGAAUACCAAGGCGCUUGAGAGAACUAUGUUGAAGGAACUCGGCAAAUUGCCCCCGUAACUUCGGGAGAAGGGGGGCCCGAGACGUGAAACCCUUCACGGGUUAGCGUCGACGGCCGCAGAGACCAGGGAGAAGCGACUGUUUACUAAAAACACAGGUCCGUGCGAAGUCGCAAGACGAUGUAUACGGACUGACGCCUGCCCGGUGCUGGAAGGUUAAGAGGAGAUGUCAUUCCUUCGGGGAGAAGCAUUGAAUUGAAGCCCCAGUAAACGGCGGCCG